GGGUAUGUGACGUCAUCCGUUGGCAGCCAUCGGCCGCCGAGACUCGGUCGAGAGAGAGAGAGAAAAAAAGAGAGGCUGCUCUUCUACCGACAGCAAGUCAGGCGUGGAAACGAUUCACAGGUCACUGGCACUGGUUACAAUAUAGGAUAUACUCACUGAGCGUGUUCAUGAGUGGAGUACUCUGAUGUACAAAACAUAUUUCCUGCCUCUGCUCGCUAGUACAGCAACUACAUUUGCUAUAGCUGCUGCAACUAGUACUACUUUCUACUAACUGAGAAGCAGGGCAUGACGGCAGCAUCUGUGGAUCAUCAGCUUACAUCUGGUACUACAGGCCCGACUGGUAGAGGGCAGGACAAAAUGGCUGGAUGCAAACCAUCAAAUAGUUGGCUUUCUACGACUGUUGUGUCGAUUACAAAAGGUCAGAAUGUAAACUAGUAUAAUACUGUCCUCACAAUCCAUACUUGAAAUACCUCUGCCAUGAGAAUUAAUAGUCAUGAACACGUAAAGUAGAACAGGUGCACUUGCCUAUGUAACACAUGUAAGGAAAAUAGAAGGCCGUGUCUCUGGUGUUUUACGCUGUCAGCAAAGAAAUCGAUGUUCCACCGAGAUAGUCCAAAUAUAUAUAGUAUAUCCUAAUGACUAAAAGAGAAAAAAACAAUGUAGCCUACAAGACACUAAGAGUAAAGGAGAGUAAGGGCAUGAUGAGAAAAACGAAGUUCGACAUAACAAGGAAAUAAAAAAGAAAUCAGUUGUUUACUAAACUACAGAAAACUAAAUAUUUAUGACGAUAAAGAAAAAUUCAGUCCUUCAAAUUACAAUUUACCGUACGUUUAUUCAACGCCUUGUUUUACGUACUAGGGGAAAUAACUCUAAUCUAUCCUCAAGGUAAGACAUACUGAACUAGAAUUAAUUCCCUUCUACGACUUGAUGCAACGUGUCAUGAUAAAAGAUUUCUCAUACCAAGUUAUUCUUUAAAAUUGUCCCUUGCUCUAAAUUUCAUAACAAACUUAAAAAAAAUUAUGAUGAUAUAAAUAAAAAUAUCUUUAUUCUUAUAAAUCUUUUAUAAUUCAAUAUUUCAACAAUAAUAAAAACUUUGAACAUAUUUUAUCACUAUUUAUUUUUUGUUUCGUUUUUGUUAAUCAGAUUUAACCUUCAAUGCUUUCCAAAGCGACACAUUUUACGUGUGAAUUAUAUGUCUACUGUGCUUUCUCUUUUAAAGUUAGUUCUAAUUUAUAGAACCGGUUCCAGAAAAAUGACUAAAAAAAAACCUCCAAAUUUUACUGACAUUUUUUCAGCCUUUUCAGACUCACAAGAUAAUCUUUAAAGUUAACUACAUAUUUAUUUAAAUUUUAAUUCUCACUAUUUUCUUCUGAUCGACGAUAAAUUUGUCAAGCUGCUGAUGACGAUGGUGGAGAAGGGGGAAGCGACAACAAAAUAUCCGAGUCGAAAAUAUCAAGGUAAGCAACUCCAGCACCUCCAAAGCCGCAAUAAAACUAGUUGUUUCCCUUGGACUGUAUGCCACUGAACCCGCUGUUUCGGGUUUACUAGUCUUCUGAUGUUCAUUCAUAUUACACAAAUGAGUUUUUAUGAAAGGUAAAAGAAAGGAAUGACAACAUAAAGCGCAAAAGUUUUGACUGCAUCACUUGCUGCUCUGAAUGAGUUGGUAAUGUUUGUAAAUAGAAUAUGAUUAUAGUAUAAAGUAAAAUACAAAUAUUUUCCAACAUCAAAUUUCCAAAACAUGAAACAAUCAAAUGUAGCUGUCAUGAAAUUUAUUCAUAUUUCAUGAACUGAACAAUGUAUGUCACACACAUAAACUCACUUCAUGGUUUCCCUAAUCUUGCUAAAAUAUCACAUUUAUUGCUAAAAACAUCAGAAAUAUGAAGAAAAUAUAUAUUCCUACAGAAUGUUUGCAACACUGGGAUGGGAAGAGGAUGGGAAGUAGAAGGGUUUACUAAACUGCUUAACAUCCUACAGCAGAUUACCUAAACAACAAUAAAGUCUACACUCAGGAGUCCAGGCACUCUCAAUAAUUUUUCAUUAUCUAUUUACACAAUCAGUUUGCACCAUAAUGCAGCUGCUGUUACUGAAGACUGGUUUUAUGUCCCCCAACUACCAGAAUAAUAAAUGUUACAUAUUCCAGUUUAGAUUUAAAAAAAAAUCAGCACAAGACAUAUAUAACAAGACAGGUUGCUUUGCAAAUAACAAUCACAAUAAAAUCUGGCUCUAAUAUAUAUUUAACUGAUUUUUACUUGGGACACCAAUUUUUUUUUUAAAGACCAGUAGUUCUAAAAAAAUUCCAAGAGAUUGUUAAAUUACCAAGCUGUUACUAGUGCUUCUGUCCAAUAUUCUUACACAUGACCUAACACUUAGAUUUAAAACAGAUUUUACUUCUACAUCCGUUUGGGUAAUUACUGGAAUUUUAAAAUUUACUACCAAUUCAGUAAGUCUCUUACUCACAUAAUAGGCGGUGAAUGUUUGUAAAGAAAGGAUACAUAAAAAGCUUUGUGGUCAUUGAACCAAGAUUAUAAAUGAUUGCUGAGUACCAGAUUCUUUCCAAUCUCUUAUAUUAAAAAAAAAAAAAA